UACAGAGGUGGCAAGCGUUGUUCGGAAUUACUGGGCGUAAAGGGCGCGUAGGCGGUCUUUUAAGUCUUGUGUGAAAUCCCUCGGCUCAACUGAGGAACUGCACGGGAUACUGGAAGACUUGAGUUCGGGAGAGGGAAGCGGAAUUCCGGGUGUAGCGGUGAAAUGCGUAGAUAUCCGGAGGAACACCGGUGGCGAAGGCGGCUUCCUGGACCGAUUACUGACGCUGAGGCGCGAAAGCGUGGGGAGCAAACAGG
rnacentral:rRNA from 1 species